rnacentral:rRNA from 1 species
UACGGGAGGCAGCAGUGGGGAAUAUUGCACAAUGGGCGAAAGCCUGAUGCAGCUAUGCCGCGUGUAUGAAGAAGGCCUUAGGGUUGUAAAGUACUUUCAUCGGGGAGGAAAAACAAAACUAAUAAUUUUAUUUCUUGACGUUACCCGAAAAAGAAGCACCGGCUAACUCCGUGCCAGCAGCCGCGGUAAUACGGAGGGUGCGAGCGUUAAUCGGAAUUACUGGGCGUAAAGGGCACGCAGGCGGUUAAUUAAGUUGGAUGUGAAAUCCCGGGCUUAACCUGGGAAUGGCAUUCAAGACUGGUUAGCUAGAGUCUUGUAGAGGGGGUAGAAUUCCAUGUGUAGCGGUGAAAUGCGUAGAGAUGUGGAGGAAUACCGGUGGCGAAGGCGGCCCCUGGACAAAGACUGACGCUCGAUGUGCGAAAGCGUGGGGAGCAAACGAGGGAUUAGAUACCCGU